GGAGUUAGCCGGUGCUUCUUCUGUGAGUGAUGUCCUUCCUGCCGGUUAUUGACCCGCAGGCCUUCUUCCUCACUGAAAGUGCUUUACAACCCGAAGGCCUUCUUCACACACGCGGCAUGGCUGGAUCAGGGUUGCCCCCAUUGUCCAAUAUUCCCCACUGCUGCCUCCCGUAGGAGUCUGGGCCGUGUCUCAGUCCCAGUGUGGCUGAUCAUCCUCUCAGACCAGAUACGGAUCGUCGCCUUGGUGAGCCGUUACCUCACCAACCAGCUAAUCCGACAUAGGCUCAUCCGAUAGCGCGAGGCCCGAAGGUCCCCCGCUUUCCCCCGUAGGGCGUAUGCGGUAUUAGCCUGGGUUUCCCCAGGUUAUCCCCCACUACCGGGCAGAUUCCUAUGCAUUACUCACCCGUCCGCCGCUCGCCACCAGGGAGCAAGCUCCCCGUGCUGCCGCUCGACUUGCAUGUGUUAGGCCUGCCGCCAGCGUUCAAUCUGAGCCAGAAUCAAACUCUGA
rnacentral:rRNA from 1 species